CUGAUUCUGGACAGGAGGUUGAAGAGAAAGAAGUGGAAACGGAACCUGUGGCUGUUGGAGAGGUAAUGCCUGAAGGAAUGAAAUCAGGCACAACACCGGCACCAGAACCUCUGCUGGCUCCCUCUCUUUCUGGACAAGAGGGUCAAAA